rnacentral:tRNA from 1 species
GGUGGGGUGCCAGAGCGGUCGAAUGGGUCUGUCUUGAAAACAGAUAUAUCUGAAAAGGUAUCGUGGGUUCGAAUCCCACCCCCACCGCCA